GCCAGACUCCUACGGGAGGCAGCAGUGGGGAAUAUUGCACAAUGGGGGAAACCCUGAUGCAGCGACGCCGCGUGAGUGAAGAAGUAUUUCGGUAUGUAAAGCUCUAUCAGCAGGGAAGAAGAAAGACGGUACCUGACUAAGAAGCCCCGGCUAACUACGUGCCAGCAGCCGCGGUAAUACGUAGGGGGCAAGCGUUAUCCGGAUUUACUGGGUGUAAAGGGGGCGCAGACGGCGAUGCAAGCCAGGAGUGAAAGCCCGGGGCCCAACCCCGGGACUGCUCUUGGAACUGCGUGGCUGGAGUGCAGGAGGGGCAGGCGGAAUUCCUGGUGUAGCGGUGAAAUGCGUAGAUAUCAGGAGGAACACCGGUGGCGAAGGCGGCCUGCUGGACUGCGACUGACGUUGAGGCCCGAAAGCGUGGGGAGCAAACAGGAUUAGAUACCCCGGUACA
rnacentral:rRNA from 1 species